CAACUUGAUACCUUCGGUGCUCUGUCUGCUUUUUGCUGUUACCAAGGAUAGUGGACUCCACCCGAGGAAGUUACAACAGGAACACAUGAUACAUCUGUACUCUUUGCCAUGUGACUGUAUGACGCCUCCUAGUAAGGAGAGCUUCCUAGGGUGGCAGAUACAUGCAGCCAAUUUAAGCCCAACCUGUAGGCAGAAGCAGAGCUACCCAGCUAAUCUGCAGACAUGCGGGGAACUUGUCUGCUUUAGAAAUGCUGCCUGAUGGACCAGCACCAAGGACGUUUCUUCAGAAGAAAAGCUGUCUCUUUCCCCUGUUCUCUUACAUUCUUUUGCAUAAGGCAGGUACUCGAUAAAUUGAACUGAUUAGUUGCACUGCCCAAUAAGGUAGUCAUUAUCACC